CAUUCCUUCCUUCAAUUAUUGCGUGACGCGUAGGUUUUUUCUGGAUUGUUUCCUUAUCUCUUCCCUAACUUCUCAUUUAUAACUUUUUUUCCGCUGUUCAUUCUCUUGGGCGGUUCCCGGUUGCCAGUUACCAUGGAACGGCCAAGAGAACGAAGGAAUUCUCCCACCGCUUUGAUUAAGUAAGUAUAUAUUCUUUUCACGCGUCUCCCUGCGCCUUCUUGAUUUCCACGUCCACUCUUCUUCAGACUUCAGGCCCCUCUCUUUCUUCCUCCGCGGCUAGGUUUUCUUCGAGAAAAGGAUUCGUUUGCAGAUAUUGGGACCGGAAAUUUGGGCGAGUUCGUCGUCUCAGGAGUUCGUGUGUGGUUGGGCAAGUGCCUCUGUUCUUGAUCCGCUCCAUGGGUAUCCAUCAUGGAUGCACACGAAUCCCGGAGCCCGACGCGAAGUAGGAGACGUGCCUACCCUCCUCCGGCGAAGGUGAUGUCUCCCCAGCCCGCUUCCGGCAUCAAGCUCACCUGGUCGUGCUCAACCACAACGCCAUGGAAGAACAUCUCCGGGCCCAAUGUUUUCUUUGUCGGUCGUGGUGUCACGGCUUCCUCAUGUAGAGGUAGAGGGGGUGGCUGACAUUGGCUGCGCCAGCAGCAAAUUGGAGAAAAAGUGUGAACGGUAGCGCAGUGCGUCACUGUCUGUUCUACCUCAUCCUGGCUGCGCGCUUGCGUCCGCCAGGUUUCAUCUUCGUCCAGUGGGCUCGCGCUCUUGGGCGUGUCGAGGUAGUUCCUUGGAUACAGCGGGAAGUUCAGGACUUCCAUCUCGCGGGACAACGCUGGACGGCUGGCGCGCUGUAAGUGUGGAGAACACCUUUGAGAGGUGACCGCCAAUGUCAGCAGGGCUGUUGAACAAUCUCGAGAGGCAGAGAGAAUCACGGUGCUCCAGUAGUUUCGGUUUCUCAUUUUCUUCCUCUUUUUUCAAUUGAAUAUCUGAUUGCUCGAUGAAUUAGAGUGGUUUGGUCCAGCAAUGAUUACAUGAUGGAUGGUGCAAAUCAAUGAUUGACUGUCUAUUCCACUGAUACAGCGUCAAGUUUUUUCUUCAGUGGAGUAGAUGCAAGUUUGCUAUCUGUGGGAAGACACCAGUGUGAGCCUUGAUAUAUUCGUUGGUCUGCAAGGUCUGCUGUUGCACGCCGAGAUCGGUAGUUGGGAUACAGCAGCAGGUUGUCGUCGACUAAGGUUGUAAGGUCUGGUGUUGGGCGUCAAAAUCGGCAGUCGGGCUACAUCGUUAGGUAGUCGUCGACUACGUCUUGGAGGAUGAUGUGCUGCCUCCUCUAGAAUACCACUUCAGACGGUCAGCUGAAACCUGUGUGCACUUGCCAACCUUCUUACUGAAACUUUUCAAUACCAAGUUAUAUGUUUUCCUCGAAUUAUCAUCAUCAGAUAUUGUAGUCUGUGAGUGUGUUCUUACUGUGAGCAAAUGUCAUACCAUGGUUGUAGCUGCACCUGGUGGUAUUAUUUGGCUUAAUUUGUAUUGUAGGAUGGUUGAGAACAAUGAGGAGAUAUGGAGGAUCAAACUUAGACCUAAAGCCAGGAGGUCCAUAUAUAGGGGAAAACGGAUAAAAGUGCAGAGGCAAAGUUGAAUUAAUGCUUCGAUGGAUACUGUACUGGGUAGUUCCUUGGAAAUUAAUAUGCUGCACCCGCACUAUUUGUACCAAAUAGUUUGCAUUGUCAUAAGGUUGUUUCGAACAGCUGUUUGGGCAUAGAGGCUGUUUCGGUAAAGCUUAGAAGUUUAAAUCAUUGUAUUGCUUAACAUGAAUAAAAGAACUAAGCGCAUAUAGAUCAAGGAAUUGAUUAUGUCAUUUUCACUAAUCUCAUAACAGUCUAGGAUAUGUUGUUUAGAACUAUGAUUAACUAUAACUCCACAGUAAUAUAUUUGUUGGUUUUUAGUUCACUUGAACUGAAUGACAACGGACAUACCUAGCUUCAGAAUGAUUAUUUGGAGUAACUUUGAUCUGUUCUUAGUAUGUUCUGGCAUACCUUUCCUUUUGUUAGCUUAUGCUUCACAGUUAUGCAUCAUAAUCGAAUUUUUUUCUCAGCUAUUGGAUUUUAUAAAUGAUGCCAUGUCAACCUCUGUGCAUGCCUAUUAUUUCUUGUUGCUGUAUUAUUGUGUUCAUCUUAUAAGACAAGGUAAGCUUCUGCCUGCAUGUCUCAACUUGGCAUUCAUCGGUAUUUGCUAUUUUAUUUUGGCUAUGGAGGUGAGGAAUUAUAAGAUACAUUUGUAAGAUUGGUUUGUUGAGUUACUAUAUAUAUGCUUGUGUGUGUGCUACUAUUUUAAUUUUGUAAUGCUCUGUUUCAUGGAGCAAUGGCUGCUGCGUAGGUUGGUUAUCAUUUCAGGUACAUGUUAUUUUUCCCUGUUUAGAGGUUAGUUUUGUUAGGCUGUCAUUUUUCUUGAUGUAGAAUAUUCAAUGCUGAGUUGGCUGUGGUUGACAUGAACCGAGUUCAAGACUUUGUUGGUCUAUGCAGAUGAACGGAAAUCUGAAGAAGUGAAGAUUGGCAGGGCCAGAAAAAAAUUAUUUAUACUUUCUGAUGUACAAGCAGUAGCAUCAUGAAGCAGCACACAAACCCCGGCAGACCCAGAAAAAAUCUGCAGUACUCCCUCCGCCUGAAGAAAUGCCAAAUGCACCAGAAGAUAGCAAAGCUUGAGGAGCUGCGCCGGCCAGAGAUAUCAUGGAGACA